rnacentral:rRNA from 1 species
ACAAGAACAUUCCGCAAUGGGCGAAAGCCUGACGGAGCGACAUCGCGUGCUGGAUGAAGGGCCUUGGUCCGUAAACAGCUUUUAUCGGGGACGAAGUAAUUGACGGUACCCGGUGAAUAAGGGGCUCCUAACUCUGUGCCAGCAGGAGCGGUAAUACAGAGGCCCCAAGCAUUAUCCGGAAUCACUGGGCGUAAAGGGUGUCUAGGCGGCCCUGUUAGUCGUUCGUUAAAUCCGUGGGCUCAACCUACGGGCUGCGAGCGAAACGGCAGGGCUCGAGGGCGCGAGAGGUGCACGGAACUCAUGGUGGAGGGGUAAAAUCCGUUGAUAUCAUGGGGAACACCGAAGGCGAAGGCAGUGCACUGGUGCGUUCCUGACGCUCAAACACGAAAGCCAGGGUAGCGAACGGGAUUAGAUACCCCCGUAGUCC